rnacentral:rRNA from 1 species
CAGUAGCCGCGGUAAAACGAAGGGUGCAAGCGUUACUCGGAAUUACUGGGCGUAAAGCGUGCGUAGGUGGUGGUUUAAGUCCGUUGUGAAAGCCCUGGGCUCAACCUGGGAAUUGCAGUGGAUACUGGAUCACUAGAGUGUGGUAGAGGAUAGUGGAAUUUCCGGUGUAGCAGUGAAAUGCGUAGAGAUCGGAAGGAACAUCUGUGGCGAAGGCGACUAUCUGGGCCAACACUGACACUGAGGCACGAAAGCGUGGGGAGCAAACAGGAUUAGAUACCCCGGUAGUCCCUGUCUCUUAUAA